UACGGAGGAGGCAAGCGUUAUCCGGAAUGAUUGGGCGUAAAGCGUCCGUAGGUGGCUCAUCAAGUCUGCUGUUAAAUCCAGUAGCUCAACUACUGAGGGGCAGUGGAAACUGAGGAGCUAGAGUGCGGUAGGGGCAGAGGGAAUUCCUGGUGUAGCGGUGAAAUGCGUAGAGAUCAGGAAGAACACCGGUGGCGAAAGCGCUCUGCUGGGCCGCAACUGACACUCAGGGACGAAAGCUAGGGGAGCGAAUGGG
rnacentral:rRNA from 1 species